UACGUAGGGUGCGAGCGUUAAUCGGAAUUACUGGGCGUAAAGCGUGCGCAGGCGGUUCGUUGUGUCGGCGGUGAAAGCCCCGGGCUCAACCUGGGAAUGGCCGUUGAAACUGGCGAACUGGAGUGUGGCAGAGGGGGGUGGAAUUCCGCGUGUAGCAGUGAAAUGCGUAGAGAUGUGGAGGAACACCAGUGGCGAAGGCGACUUUCUGGGCUGUAACUGACGCUGAGGCGCGAAAGCGUGGGGAGCAAACAGG
rnacentral:rRNA from 1 species